UUUCCGGGGCUUAGUGCCGGAGCUAACGCAAUAAGCACUCCGCCUGGGGAGUACGACCGCAAGGUUGAAACUCAAAGGAAUUGACGGGGGCCCGCACAAGCGGUGGAGCAUGUGGUUUAAUUUGAAGCAACGCGAAGAACCUUACCAGGUCUUGACAUCCCGAUGCUAUUCUUAGAGAUAGGAAGUUACUUCGGUACAUCGGAGACAGGUGGUGCAUGGUUGUCGUCAGCUCGUGUCGUGAGAUGUUGGGUUAAGUCCCGCAACGAGCGCAACCCUUAUUGUUAGUUGCCAUCAUUAAGUUGGGCACUCUAGCGAGACUGCCGGUAAUAAACCGGAGGAAGGUGGGGAUGACGUCAAAUCAUCAUGCCCCUUAUGACCUGGGCUACACACGUGCUACAAUGGUCGGUACAACGAGUUGCGAGCCGGUGACGGCAAGCUAAUCUCUGAAAGCCGAUCUCAGUUCGGAUUGGAGGCUGCAACUCGCCUCCAUGAAG
rnacentral:rRNA from 1 species